UAGGAUCCCCAGGUGUUCUAUAGGUGUUCUAUAGGAUCCCCAGGUGUUCUAUAGGAUCCCCAGGUGCUCUAUAGGUGCUCUAUAGGAUCCCCAGGUGCUCUAUAGGGUCCCCCAGGUGUCCCCCAGGUGCUCUAUAGGAUCCCCAGGUGUUCUAUAGGGUCCCCCAGGUGCUCUAUAGGAUCCCCCAGGUGUCCCCCAGGUGUUCCAUAGGAUCCCCAGGUGUCCCCAGGUGUCCCCAGGUGUGUCCAGGUGUCCCCAGGUGUCCCCAGGUGUCCCCAGGUGUGUUUUUGAUGUCCCCAGGUGUCCCCAGGUGUGUUUUGGGUGUCCCCAGGUGUCCCCAGGUGUGUUUUUGAUGUCCCCAGGUGUGUUUUUGGCUCACCUGGCUGGCCUUUGUCCCCACGCUGGCCGCGAUCACCUCGCAGGCGGCCCCAGGUGUG
rnacentral:lncRNA from 1 species